CCUACGGGAGGCAGCAGUAGGGAAUAUUGGGCAAUGGAGGCAACUCUGACCCAGCCAUGCCGCGUGCAGGAAGACGGCGUUAUGCGUUGUAAACUGCUUUUAUAUAGGAAGAAAUAGUCCUUGCGAGGAAAGUUGACGGUACUAUAUGAAUAAGCACCGGCUAACUCCGUGCCAGCAGCCGCGGUAAUACGGAGGGUGCAAGCGUUGUCCGGAUUUAUUGGGUUUAAAGGGUGCGUAGGCGGUUUAUUAAGUCAGUGGUGAAAGACGGUCGCUCAACGAUUGCAGUGCCAUUGAUACUGGUAGACUUGAGUGGGAUUGAGGUAGCUGGAAUGGAUAGUGUAGCGGUGAAAUGCAUAGAUAUUAUCCAGAACACCAAUUGCGUAGGCAAGUUACUAAGUCUCAACUGACGCUGAGGCACGAAAGUGUGGGUAUCAAACAGGAUUAGAUACCCUGGUAGUCCACACUGUAAACGAUGAUAACUAACUGUUGGCUUUCGGGUACNGUGGUACAGAGAAUCGUUAAGUUAUCCACCGUGGGGAGUACGCCGGCGAACGGUGAACGUCGAAAGGAAGUUGGACGGCGUGAGACGUAGACCGACGGACGACGACGAGGGAGGAGG
rnacentral:rRNA from 1 species